CUGCUUAUCAGUGUAAACUUUGGAUCCAAACAGAUAAAGAAAUCACUAUCAAGUGCAUCAGCCAGUUCUAAAUAACAGAAUAGCCCCAUGUAUUGACCAGUACACUGAUAUCAUAGCAUCUGAGGAAUUAAACAGGGAUCUGAGGGAUGUUCUUUGCUCUGGUGCACUUGAUGAUCCACUUAUCACAGCUGUGCUAAAAAGACUGUUUGUUGAACCUAGGAAAUUACAACAGGCAUUUGUUGAACCUAUAAAUUGACAAGAAGAACAAGGGUUCUUCUACAACACAUAGUGUAAGAUGGUUUCCCAAAGCUUUACUGUUUAUCAGACUCCAGACCAUUACUGAUGUCAGAUACUUUGCAAUCCACACAAAGCACUGUACUUUAAAGGUUUCCAGUUAUUUAUGAACAUCCAUCGUGUUUUUUUCACUGAGAUGCAAUGUUUUAUUAACUGAGACUAUUAAGUCAUCGCUAAAUCACACCUAAAGACAACUAGCACAUAUUUCCAUAUAUGACCUGGAAAGCUUUGCUAUUGAAGUAUGCAGGUUGACUUACAUUACAAGAUCAACAUUUGGUCAUAAAAUGAUAUUACAGAU